UUGAAGUACAAUUUCAGAAAGAUCCAUACACUUACACACAGUUAUUGUCAUGAAACUAGAACAAGAGUGCACACACUGAAAUGUCUCGCCUUCUUUACUAACCAUUGAUUUUAUGUUGAUAGUCCUAAAUAUAAAGCUUUACUACAAGUAACAUAUAAACUUAACAUGAUCCAAGAAAAUGAGGUCAAGGUCAGAUAAACCAAAAGAGAAAUACAUGUACACCUUACAAUCAUUCAAUAAACCAAACAUAGAUGACCUUGCUUAUAGUUUCUAAGAAACAGUCUUAACCAAGAAAACUUAACAUUGACCAAUGAACCAUGAAAAUGAGGUCAAGGUCAGAUGAAACAUGCCAGGCAGACAUGUACACCUUACAAUCAAUUUAUGCAUUAAAUAUAGUUGACCUAUUGCUUAUAGUAUCUAAGAAACAAACUUAACCAUGAAAACUUAACACUGACCAAUGAACCAUGAAAAUGAGGUCAAGGUCAGAUGAUACCUGACAGACAGACAUAUACACCUUACAGUCCUUCCAUACAACAAAUAUAGUUGAUCUAUUGCUUAUAGUUGAAGAAAAACAGACCAAAACACAAAAACUUUACACUGAGAAAUGAACCUUGAAAAUGAGGUCAAGGUCAAAUAAAACCUGCGAGACUGACAUGUACAUCAUAAAAUAUUUCCAUACACCAAAUAUAGUUGACCUAUUGCAUAUAGUAUUAGAAAAAAAGACCAAAACUCAAAAACUUAACUUUGACCACUGAACCAUGAAAAUGAGGUUAAGGUCAGAUGACACCUGCCAGCUAGACAUGUACACCUUACAAUCAUUCCAUACACCAAAUAUAGUAGACCUAUUGCAUACAGUAUAAGAAAAACAGACCAAAACACAAAAA